UGUGAGGUUAAGCGACUAAGCGUACACGGUGGAUGCCCUGGCAGUCAGAGGCGAUGAAGGACGUGCUAAUCUGCGAUAAGCGUCGGUAAGGUGAUAUGAACCGUUAUAACCGGCGAUUUCCGAAUGGGGAAACCCAGUGUGUUUCGACACACUAUCAUUAACUGAAUCCAUAGGUUAAUGAGGCGAACCGGGGGAACUGAAACAUCUAAGUACCCCGAGGAAAAGAAAUCAACCGAGAUUCCCCCAGUAGCGGCGAGCGAACGGGGAGCAGCCCAGAGUCUGAAUCAGUGUGUGUGUUAGUGGAAGCGUCUGGAAAGGCGCGCGAUACAGGGUGACAGCCCCGUACACAAAAAUGCACAUACUGUGAGCUCGAUGAGUAGGGCGGGACACGUGGUAUCCUGUCUGAAUAUGGGGGGACCAUCCUCCAAGGCUAAAUACUCCUGACUGACCGAUAGUGAACCAGUACCGUGAGGGAAAGGCGAAAAGAACCCCGGCGAGGGGAGUGAAAAAGAACCUGAAACCGUGUACGUACAAGCAGUGGGAGCACGCUUAGGCGUGUGACUGCGUACCUUUUGUAUAAUGGGUCAGCGACUUAUAUUCUGUAGCAAGGUUAACCGAAUAGGGGAGCCGAAGGGAAACCGAGUCUUAACUGGGCGUUAAGUUGCAGGGUAUAGACCCGAAACCCGGUGAUCUAGCCAUGGGCAGGUUGAAGGUUGGGUAACACUAACUGGAGGACCGAACCGACUAAUGUUGAAAAAUUAGCGGAUGACUUGUGGCUGGGGGUGAAAGGCCAAUCAAACCGGGAGAUAGCUGGUUCUCCCCGAAAGCUAUUUAGGUAGCGCCUCGUGAAUUCAUCUCCGGGGGUAGAGCACUGUUUCGGCAAGGGGGUCAUCCCGACUUACCAACCCGAUGCAAACUGCGAAUACCGGAGAAUGUUAUCACGGGAGACACACGGCGGGUGCUAACGUCCGUCGUGAAGAGGGAAACAACCCAGACCGCCAGCUAAGGUCCCAAAGUCAUGGUUAAGUGGGAAACGAUGUGGGAAGGCCCAGACAGCCAGGAUGUUGGCUUAGAAGCAGCCAUCAUUUAAAGAAAGCGUAAUAGCUCACUGGUCGAGUCGGCCUGCGCGGAAGAUGUAACGGGGCUA
rnacentral:rRNA from 1 species